rnacentral:rRNA from 1 species
CCUACGGGAGGCAGCAGUGAGGAAUAUUGGUCAAUGGCCGGAAGGCUGAACCAGCCAUGCCGCGUGAAGGUCAGUGCCCUAUGGGCGUUAAACUUCUUUUGUGCGGGAGCAAUAAUGGUCACGUGUGGCCAGACGAGAGUACCGUACGAAUAAGCAUCGGCGAACUCCGUGCCAGCAGACGCGGUAAUACGGGGGAUGCAAGCGUUAUCCGGAUUUAUUGGGUGUAAAGGGUGCGUAGGGUGGGAGGUAAGUCAGAGGUGAAAUGCCCCCGGUCAACGGGGUGAAGUGCCAUUGAUACUGGCUGGCUUGAGUGCGCAUGCGGUAGGAGGAAUGUGUGGUGUAGCGGUGAAAUGCAUAGAUAUCACGCAGAACCCCGAUUGCGAAGGCAUCUCGCGAAUCCGCGAUUGACGCUGAGGCACGAAGGCGUGGGUAUCAAACAGGAUUAGAUACCCCUGUAGUC